AGAUCACCGAUCGGGGCAUCAUCAGAAGCCACCACAGCCAAGAACAAUUAAGCAAGGAUCGAUGGCGGGACACGAGCAGGAGAAGCAGCAGGACGAUGAUGCCUCAGCACAGAGGUCGCCGUUGCCACACAAAGUCGUCAUGGAAAUCCUUGCCUACCCGCCGGCCAAGUCCGCGGGGUGCUUCUGCUGCGUCUCACGUUCGUGGCAGGCCACGCUCUCGUCGCCGUGCUUCUUCGAGCUCCACCUCCGGCGGGCAAACCACAGUCCAUCGCCGCCGGCCGGCCAAAGCUCUUCUUCAGUCCCACGGACGAGCCCUCGAACGACUACUUUUUUUACGCCUGGCAGCCCAGCGGCACGGCCCACCAAGCCCCCGCGUCCUCCUCCCCACCAACCCUAGCCAUGCCCUCGCCGCCACCUCUCCUUCCCCCGUUCGUCCUCUCCCGCCGCCGCCACCACCCCUAUCUCUCCUCCUUUCUCCUCGACGCCAUCAACGCGAGUGGGCACUCGCUGGAUCUGGUGGUCAGUGCGGGAUGCAACAGCGCAUCUGGCCGGAGGAGAACGCGGCGGCUGCAUCUCCUGGCAAUGGUAGUGGGGGCGGGUGGAUGAGGAGGCGACAUCUCGGGAGGUAGGCAAGAGGAACCAGGCGGUUCUCCUUCCAUGGCGGUACCCCGACCUGUCGGAUCUUCAUCGUCAUCAGCCCGGCGGACAGUAAGGUGUUCUAUUUUUCAACGUGCUGCAGCUACCACUUUGCCACUGCCCUGACUCCUUCCUGCAGACCAUGGAUCUGUCGUCGAUGCAGAGCGUCAACAGGGUGAAGGUUUGCCACCCUAGCAGACUCGUGUGUUGUUGCCGCCGCAAUCCUUCUCUUUGUUGGAGUCUUCCUCCUCUGGAGAGAAAAAAAUUGGUCUCUUUGACACGCUUGGGAUCGACGGAUCGUUCAUGCCAUGGUUGGAUUUGAAUGGGGCAGUGUCUAUCCAAAAUUUGUUUGGUUGACUGGACAAUUUGUUUGUUUGGUUGUCUUAAUGUAACCCGAUUCGCAUAAUUUUGAAAACAUCAGCAAAGAUUUCAGUGGCUGGGAGUGUUUGCCAGAGUGGAAACGAAGCAUUUGCUGGAAGGAGCUCAAGAUUUCGCUAUUACCCUGCUGAUAGUUUUGUGAGGUAAUUUAGCUACACAUUUGCAUGUUUCUUUUCUGCUGUAGCAAUGCCUAUUUCAAUUUAGAAAGUAGAUAUAUGAAGUGUGAUUUAAGUGUCUAAUAGCGGAUGUUGUUAGCAGUCUAAUUUCUCCCAAGCAGCUG